ensembl:rRNA 5S_rRNA 5S ribosomal RNA
GCUUAUGGCCAUACCAGCCAAAGAACACUCGGUCUCGUCUGAUCUCGGAAGCUAAGAAGGCUUGGGCCUGGUUAGUACUUGGAUGGGAGACUGCCUGGGAAUGCCAGGUGCUGUAAGCU